rnacentral:rRNA from 1 species
GACGAACCACACAAACGUUAUUCGGAAUUACUGGGCUUAAAGGGUGCGUAGGCGGCGCAGAAAGUAGGGUGUGAAAUCCCUCGGCUCAACCGAGGAACUGCGCCCUAAACUACUGUGCUCGAGGGAGGUAGAGGUGAGCGGAACUUAGGGUGGAGCGGUGAAAUGCGUUGAUAUCCUAAGGAACACCGGUGGCGAAAGCGGCUCACUGGACCUCUUCUGACGCUGAGGCACGAAAGCGUGGGGAGCAAACAGG